GACGAACGCUGGCGGCGUGCUUAACACAUGCAAGUCGAACGGAAAGGCCCUGCUUUUGUGGGGUGCUCGAGUGGCGAACGGGUGAGUAACACGUGAGUAACCUGCCCUUGACUUUGGGAUAACUUCAGGAAACUGGGGCUAAUACCGGAUAGGAGCUCCUGCUGCAUGGUGGGGGUUGGAAAGUUUCGGCGGUUGGGGAUGGACUCGCGGCUUAUCAGCUUGUUGGUGGGGUAGUGGCUUACCAAGGCUUUGACGGGUAGCCGGCCUGAGAGGGUGACCGGCCACAUGGGGACUGAGAGACGGCCCAGACUGCUACGGGAGGCAGGAGUGGGGAAUAUUGCACAAUGGGCGGAAGCCUGAUGCAGCAACGCCGCGUGCGGGAUGACGGCCUUCGGGUUGUAAACCGCUUUCGCCUGUGACGAAGCGUGAGUGACGGUAAUGGGUAAAGAAGCACCGGCUAACUACGUG
rnacentral:rRNA from 1 species